CCUACGGGAGGCAGCAGUAGGGAAUCUUCCACAAUGGGCGAAAGCCUGAUGGAGCAACGCCACGUGGGUGAAGAAGGUCUUCGGAUCGUAAAACCCUGUUGUUAGAGAAGAAAGUGCGUGAGAGUAACUGUUCACGUUUCGACGGUAUCUAACCAGAUCGCCACGGCUAACUACGUGCCAGCAGCCCCGGUAAUACGUAGGUGGCAAGCGUUAUCCGGAUUUAUUGGGGGUAAAGGGAACGCAGGCGGUCUUUUAAGUCUGAUGUGAAAGCCUUCGGCUUAACCGGAGUAGUGCAUUGGAAACUGGGAGACUGGAGUGCAGAAGAGGAGAGUGGAACUCGAUGUGUAGCGGUGAAAUGCGUAGAUAUAUGGAAGAACACCAGUGGCGAAAGCGGCUCUCUGGUCUGUAACUGACGCUGAGGUUCGAAAGCGUGGGUAGCAAACAGGAUUAGAUACCCCAGUAGUC
rnacentral:rRNA from 1 species